GGUAGAGACAGGGUUAAUAAUUAUGCCACACACUCAUACCUUUAUUCAACUCAUCGUUUGUCCUAUUCAGGUCACAGAGAUACUUGGGACUCAUACCUGCUCUCAAACCACCAAUCACUUCACACCGGGCAUCUUCUGUGGGGCUCAGGGACACUUGAAGAUGAGAGCAGGGACAUGUGGUAGACAUGAGGUCAGGCCCUGGCUGCCCCAGCUCUGCCCAGCUACACAAAACAAAUGACUUCUCAGGUAGCUCUGGGGAGCUCCCAGUGGAUCAGGGAGAGAAUGUCUGGUGUUGGCAAGACCAGUGAGGAGGCUGCAGUCAAGUCUGGGAGUAAAUGAGUCUGGGAGCCACUGGAGACAGAGCUCAGAGGAAAUGACUUGGUGCAAGAGAUGAGCCUCAAAGUUGAUUUCCCAGGAGGAAUCCCUCAAGGUCCUUGAAACAUGGACAUCAAGGAGGAAAAUCAAUCAUCUUUUAAGUCUUCACCUUGAUGAUUGAACUGCUGCUGCCAGACUCUUUUUUCUUUCUCUCAAGCCCUACACGUAGCCUCCCUCCCUCCCUCCCUCUCUCUCUCUACCUCUGUC